AGAGUUUGAUCCUGGCUCAGAACGAACGCUGGCGGCGUGCCUAACACAUGCAAGUCGAACGUGAUUGGAAGCUUGCUUCCAUGAAAGUGGCGCACGGGUGAGUAACGCGUGGAUAAUCUGCCCGAUGAUUCGGGAUAACAUCUCGAAAGGGGUGCUAAUACCGGAUAAGCUUACGAGGACCGAGGUUCUUGUGGGAAAAGGGGGGGACCUUAGGGCCUUCCGUCAUCGGAUGAGUCCGCGUACCAUUAGCUAGUUGGCGGAGUAAAGGCCCACCAAGGCUACGAUGGUUAGCUGGUUUGAGAGAAUGAUCAGCCACACUGGAACUGAGACACGGUCCAGACUCCUACGGGAGGCAGCAGUGGGGAAUUUUGCGCAAUGGGCGAAAGCCUGACGCAGCAACGCCGCGUGAGUGAUGAAGGCCUUCGGGUCGUAAAGCUCUGUCGAGGGGGAAGAAAUGAGCGGGCGCUAAUAUCGCCUGUUCUUGACGGUACCUCUGAAGGAAGCACCGGCUAACUCCGUGCCAGCAGCCGCGGUAAUACGGAGGGCGCAAGCGUUGUUCGGAAUUAUUGGGCGUAAAGCGCGUGUAGGCGGUUUGUUAAGUCUGAUGUGAAAGCCCCGGGCUCAACCUGGGAAGUGCAUUGGAAACUGGCAGACUUGAAUACGGGAGAGGGCAGUGGAAUUCCUAGUGUAGGAGUGAAAUCCGUAGAUAUUAGGAGGAACACCGGUGGCGAAGGCGGCUGCCUGGACCGAUAUUGACGCUGAGACGCGAA
rnacentral:rRNA from 1 species